GGGGCCAUCGCCGAUAGCGGCUACGGCCGGUUCUGGGUGAACCGGCCGGGUGGUCCGGUGGUAAUCAGCGCGCACCGGUACGCGCUGGCGUUA
rnacentral:tRNA from 1 species